rnacentral:rRNA from 1 species
AGAGUUUGAUCAUGGCUCAGGAUGAACGCUNGCGGCAGGCUUAAUACAUGCAAGUCGAGGGGCAGCAUGGUGUAGCAAUACACUGAUGGCGACCGGCAAACGGGUGCGGAACACGUACAGAACCUUCCUUCGAGCGGGGAAUAGCCCAGAGAAAUUUGGAUUAAUACCCCAUAGUACAUUGAGGCGGCAUCGUUUUAAUGUUAAAGAUUUAUCACUUGAAGAUGGCUGUGCGGCUGAUUAGGUAGUUGGCGGGGUAACGGCCCACCAAGCCUGCGAUCAGUAACUGGUGUGAGAGCACGACCAGUCACACGGGCACUGAGACACGGGCCCGACUCCUACGGGAGGCAGCAGUAAGGAAUAUUGGUCAAUGGACGAAAGUCUGAACCAGCCAUGCCGCGUGGAGGAUGAAGGUCCUCUGGAUUGUAAACUUCUUUUAUAUGGGACGAAAAAAGGGCUUUCUAGCUCGUCUGACGGUACCAUAUGAAUAAGCACCGGCUAACUCCGUGCCAGCAGCCGCGGUAAUACGGAGGGUGCAAGCGUUAUCCGGAUUCACUGGGUUUAAAGGGUGCGUAGGUGGGUUGGUAAGUCAGUGGUGAAAUCCCCGAGCUUAACUUGGGAACUGCCAUUGAUACUAUCAGUCUUGAAUACCGUGGAGGUCAGCGGAAUAUGUCAUGUAGCGGUGAAAUGCUUAGAUAUGACAUAGAACACCAAUUGCGAAGGCAGCUGGCUACUCGGAUAUUGACACUGAGGCACGAAAGCGUGGGGAUCAAACAGGAUUAGAUACCCUGGUAGU